rnacentral:rRNA from 1 species
CUACGGAGGGUGCAAGCGUUACUCGGAAUCACUGGGCGUAAAGCGCGCGCAGGGGGCUAUUUAAGUUGGAUGUGAAAGCCUACGGCUCAACCGUAGAACUGCAUCCAAAACUAUUUAGCUAGAGUGUGGGAGAGGAAGAUGGAAUUAGUUGUGUAGGGGUAAAAUCCGUAGAGAUAACUAGGAAUACCAAAAGCGAAGGCAAUCUUCUGGAACACUACUGACGCUGAGGCGCGAAAGCGUGGGGAGCAAACGGGAUUAGAUACCCCAGUAGUCC